rnacentral:lncRNA from 1 species
ACAGAACAAAAGAUGCUAUAAAGACACAUGCCAUCUCUAUACUCUGAAUCCUAGGGAUGAAGUUGGUUGUUUUGUAGGAAACUGUCAAUCUUGGAGGCCGAAUGAUGGCCAAGUACCUGAGGCUUUUAUAUAAAACUAUAGUCACCUUCUUAUUCAGAACUUUAUUGACCCUCAUUCUAGCAAUCUAUCCCCAUAGCACUCUUUCAAAAAUUAGAAAAUCAUAUGAUAUGGCUAUCUUCCUCUUUCCUCUUCCAUUGUUUUAUAAGGAGGACACUCAAGGCUAGAGCUGUGCUAUGUCUUAUGUAUCUUAUCUGCCCAAUGUCCAGCACAUCUGGGUACAUGUAGUGGUGCAUAUAUGUUGUCAUUUAUAAAUGAAAAUGUGUGAAGCUUAGAGUCAAAGAACAGGUUGACCUACAAGUCAAAAUUAAGAUUCAGCUCCCUUACCUGUUAAUGGAUACAAUCAUCACCCUUUUCAAAGACAUAGGAUGAGGAUUAGACAUGAAUUUUUGUUAUUUUAAAAUGGUAUAUAAGUGUGGGCGAGUUAUGUGAUUGCACAGUUAUUACCUCACUGAGGAAAACACUCAGGGAUCAAAAAUGUUUAUAUAUUUUCUAGUACUAUUAGCCCCCCCACACAUACAUCAAUUAUAAAGAAAGGGUACAGAGCUUUAAUAAUGAGAGUUUGAGCAAUACUACAUUGGUUCUUUAAUUGUUUUGUUUUCUUUUACUUGUAAGAAAAUAGUUCCAUGCAAAAGUGCCAAAAUGCUAUUACCUUUCUUUUCUUACAUUUAUCUCUGCUGCAGUGUCUAAGGUUGCCCUAGCAACACAGGUGAUGGUUGAGAGCCAAGAAUCUAGAGUAAUCUAGAGCAGAAUGAUCUUCAAGUCCUGGCUCUAUCCUCUCCUAUUUGGCUUAGUUAAGUCACUUAGUAUAUCUUUGCUAUAAUAUUUUCACCUUUAUAACAGGUAAUGGAAUAAUAUCAUGUACCCCAUACAGUGUGGCCCGAGCAAAUGUAAAUCCUUUACAACAAGAAAUUUUUUUCUUUUGCUUUUUAGGGCCGCAUCCGUGGCAUAUGGAAGUUCCCAGAUUAGGGGUCCAAUUGGAGCUGUAGCUGCCAGCCUAUGUCAUGGCCACAGCAACACCAGAUCUUAACCAUGUCUGUGACCUACACCACAGCUCAUGGCAACACCAGAUCCUUAAUCUACUGAGCAAGGCCAGGGAUUGAACCUACAAUCUCAUGGUUCCUAGUCAGAUUUGUUUCCGCUGUGCCACAACAGGAACUCCUAUCAUGAUUCUUAUAGUAAGUAAAAUCAUUCCAUUUCAAUAAUAUUAGAAACAACAGUUCCAUUUGCAAAUUACUGAAUAUCUAUCAGGCACUGUGUUAGAUUCCAUGUAUUAGUGAAUAAUCUGUGUGCAGACGUUUAAGAGCAGUGUUUUCAUCCUCAGUUUACAGUUGAGCCAAUGGGGGUUCUGAUAGGUUGUCAAUUAUCUGAGGACCCUAGGACACUGUGUAGCUGGUAGUCUCUGAUUCUUGAGUUUGUUUUUUUUUAUCCCACAUCAAGUUUUUCAUCCUAGGAAGAGUUCCUCACAACCAAGUCAUACAUUAAAAUGUCUUCUCAAGAUUUUGUAGGAGUGAAGUUAAAAAACCAGGCUUGGGAGACAAGCUUUGGUUGAGUUUUUUUUCUUUUGUUUCCUCAUAAUUCAAGAGUUGACCAGUUAUAAAUCUUUGAAAGCCUCUAUUUGCUCAACUCUGCAUAUUGCCUCAAAACUUAUUGCUUCAUAUGUUCUCAUAAGCAUAAAAUAACUGAAAUAAAAAUGUUUAACUUUCACAAAUUAUGUUAAUAUUUAAAAUUUGUUUUAAAUAAGAGUUACCGUUUUGAGAUUUUUCUAUGAAAGUGAGUAAGUAUGAGGCAGGGUUUGUUCCUAUAUGACUGAAGUGUAUAGGAUAGUGUCAGCAGAUGGAUUUGAGUAUGUCAAGGAUCUGUCAUAGAGGACACUUUAUAUAAAAGAAGUUCACCACCACAUAGACAAUAAGAGUUCUUGGAAGUCCAUUAACAGGUUUUGCUUCAUAUAAUCUAAAAAUUCCAACAAUGUUCUUUCCAUCAUAUCUCCAUUUUAUCAUACAGUCUGUCCCUUAUAAAAGCCAAAUGUAUUCUAGAAAAAAAAAAUAGUGGAUUAUCACAAACUCAACCAGGUAUUAGCCUCAACUCCACUUGCAGCAGUGGUAAUGUAGUAUCUUUGCUAGAGCAGAUUAACAGGAACUCAGUAUAUGUUUAUUAAGGCUAGUAAUCUGGAGAAUACAUCCUUUUUCAUACUUACCAGAGAAGAACUCAGAAACUGGUCUCAUUCGUAGGAAAUGAGCAGUAGGAUUAAUUUAUAGUCUUCCCCAAGGGCUAUGCUAACUUUAUUGCCUUCUAUCAUAAUAUAGGCCAAGGAGAUCUAAGCCAUCUGACCAUGCCCAGAAUGUUGUACUGGUGCAUUAUAUUGAUGACAUUGUGCUACAAUAAUUGAUGUUCAAGAAAUAAUAAUAUACUGGAGAAUUUAGUAAGACAUGUGUCCUCAAGAGGGAGGAAACUUUACAGAGAUGGAAGGACAUUCCUCAUCAGUGAUAAUUUUAGCAGUUCAGUAAUUUGUGGUACACUGGGACAUUGCUCCACAAUGAAGGACACACUAUUAUUUCUCCCAUCUCCUUGCACAGUGAAAGCAGGAAAAUACCUCAAAGGGCUCUUCAGGUUGUAGAGAUAGCACAUUUCACUCCAAGGAAACUGUAGCAUUCCAUACACUAGAUGACCCCAAAACUGCAAACUCUGAGGGAACCCCAGAUCACAGAAAGCUGUGAAGCAGGAUGAGACUGCAAUUCAAGUUCCCUGGUUACCUGGACCAUAUGACCUGACAUGUUACAGGAGGUAUCUAGAUGCUAUGUGGAAUUCAUGAAAAAGUCCAAAUGUAGACUUAAGCUUUAAUUCCUAGAAUUCUAGAUCAAGGCCAUGCAAAAUGCCAUGUAGAACUUCUGAGAAGAGUGUUCCUAGACAUUGGUGAAAAGGCAGAAGCAUGAGAUGGGUUCUGCCUUAUACUCUGAACCAUAUGGAAAGGAAAACCCAGCAGGAAUUUAUUGUGAGAUGGAAGGGUGCAUCCAGGAUCGAGCCCAAGUAACUUGUAUGAGUAGAUCCCCCUGAGCCCAUGUCACCCGGCACAGCUAAAACCUAUAUGACCAGCUGAGCAGGAAGAAUUUUGCUUUUUGAAUAUUAAAAUGAACUACUACAAAUAAAGUGCUUAUCACAUAAACAGGCAAAUAAUAACAGUUCCAUAAAUGCUACCCAUUCAUUGCUGUCAUUCAUUUCAGUCUAAAAGAUUGUAUCUCUCCUACCACUUUUACAUUUUCCCCUCAGUUCAUUGUGUUUAGUUUCUUCUCCAUAAAGUGUCAGAAUACAUUGAUCAGAGCAGAAAGUCUGUACCACCCUGUUCUGGUUGAUUAGAGGCUAGGAUUGAACCAAGAUAUUCUCCUAGGUUAUGGUCUAGUCCAAUGUCACAUAUCUCUCAGAGGACUUUCAUUCCUCUGUCCCUCUCAUACCUCACUGACAUGGCUUAGAGUUAGUCAAACUUUACUUUCCUGGAAAAGUUUCCUUGUUUCUUUAGGUUAUUUCUCUUAAAAAAAUGAAAGCAUCAGUUACUAUUAUAAUUAGUAUUAUAUUUCCUGUGAAGCCAGAAAAAAAUCAAUAUUUGCAUGAAGAGAUGUUACUUUUAAAUUCUAAUUUGAUUUUCUUGUCCUUAUCUUACAAAACUGGCUUUUAAUGGGGUUUUUACCUCCACAGAGGGUUUACAGCCUGUCCUGGUUUCCUGUCGUGGUUGGCUCAUCAUUGAUCGGCCCACCAAGGCUUGGAGAAAAAUCUUGAGUUGUGUCCUUGUUGAUUCCAAUGAAGGAUGGUUUGCUGAGAGAUUUCUCACUUUAUCACUGAAUUAGAAAGUGAUGUGCUUGAGAGGUUGACAUUGAACAGCACUUUGCACUUUCUAUACAGAAUAUUUUCAGACUAUGCAAAGUUAAGGGGCUGAGAGGUGCUUCAGAUACAUUCCCAGAGAGUUUCAGCAUUCCUAUCAAUUCAGUUCCUCAACAGCUUCUUCAGUUCAUAUGCAUGUGGAGCUAUGGGGUCAAGUAUAAUUCCUUUUCAUUCAUCUCCAAAAAAGCUCAAUGUGUUGGCUUCACUGACUGUAACAUCAGAAAUUCCUCCAGAAGUUGGAAAACCUGGGAGGCUUGGGACUCUGUUCUUAGGAAAAACAAAACAAAAGAUUUGAACACAUAAGAUUUGUACUUGUCACAGAUCAUCUUUCUUAGCAUUGAAGUGUACAUCUACGUAUGUCAAACUUUGAAAUCCAAGCUGCAGGGUCUUCAAGAACACGAUCAUCCCUUCCAAAAUGUUAGACACGCUUCUUCUUUUCUAUGACAAAGCCUAUCCUGGGACCCUAAAUAAGACCGUUUUCUUUCCAUUGCAAUUGAUGUCUUAGGAAUGGUUUUCAUAUGCACAAGGUUUCCCCCAGGCCACAACAGUCUGGAGCGUCAAGACGAGCAAAACAAAACAAUUUCUGACUCUAGUCUUCAACUCUCACCCUUAUACGUUAGUGUGAAUACUGCAGCAACCUUCAAUCCUUCACUAAUUUAUGUCCAGAAGUCUCUUUGUAAAGAGGAUUGAUGAGGAUGGGGAGACUGGCUAUGUGCUCACAAGAGUAAGAAAAGGCACCAUGGACACUUUUACUGCCAUUUUUUUACAGAUGACAUUAUCUAUGUGAUACCAUUUAUUUCUACAGCACUGUAGUCUGGGGGACAUUGCUGCUCUCUAAAUAAGAAACCAAGAGUCUCCUUUUUUUGUUUGUUUUUUUUUUGUUUGUUUUUUUAAGGGCUGCAUCUGUGGCACAUAGAAGUUCCCAGGCUAGGGGUCGAAUCAGAGCUGCAGCUGUGCCAGCCAAAGCCACAUCCACAGCAAUGCCAGACAUGAGCCGUGUCUGCAACCUACACUGCAGCUCACAGCAAUGCUAGAUCCUUAACCCACUGAGUGGGACCAGGGAUCAAACCUGCAACCUGAGUCUUUAUGGAUACUAGUCAGAUUCGUUACUGCCAUGCCACAAUGGGAACCUCAAACCAAGACACUCUUGAUGCCUGUGCCAACUGGCUCUCAAUUCAGACCAUCAAUCCAUGAUCCUGCCAUGAGAAUUAUGUCAUGCUCCUCACUAGGUCCACUCUCAACUCUGGAUUUCUUGCCUUUACCCAGAACAUUCUUCCCCUUCCCCUUUGUCAUUUAAUUCUUUUUUAAAAAUAAAUUUUAUUGGUGUACAGUUGACUUACAAAGUUGUAUUAUUUCAGGGGUACAACACAGUAUCUCAGUUAUACAUAAACACAUACCCAUUCCUUCUCAGAUGCAUUUCCCAUAAAGGUUAUUACACAGUAUUGAGUAGACUACCCUGUGCUAUACAGUAGGUUCUUGUUACCUAUCCGUUUUAUAGAUAGUACUGUGCACAUGUCAAUUCCAACUCUCUAAUUUACCCCAUCCCGUUUCCCAUUUGGUUACCAUAAAUUUGGUUUCAAAAUUUUUGAGUCUGUUUCUGUUUCAUAAGUUCUUUUGUAUCAUGUUUCAUUAGAUUCCGCAUAUUAGUUACCUUAUAUGAUAUUUGUUUUUCUCUUAACUGACCUCACUUACUGUGACGAUUUCUAGGCCCAUCCAUAUUGCUGUGAAUCUUAAUAAUUCUUAUCUUAGCGCUGACAUUAUUUCUUCUAGAAAGCUUCCCAGGUACCCCUGGAUGUGUUACCUCUACUUUCUUUUCAGGACUUCUAGCUCUAUGAUAAAUUUCUUUUUAAUUGUUUCUAUUUCUGGAUGACAAACUCUUUGAAGGCAGAAUACAAUGUCUUUGAAUUCUCUGUGCUUCACACAGUGCCCAAGAUGUAGUAAAUCCAAACCAUGUUUCCGUGUUGAAUGAAUAAAUUAAGCUCUUCUUAUUCCAGUUUGUUGUAACUUCUGAUUGUACCUUUAUUUUUG